rnacentral:rRNA from 1 species
UACGUAGGGUCCGAGCGUUGUCCGGAAUUAUUGGGCGUAAAGAGCUCGUAGGCGGUGUGUCACGUCGGCCGUGAAAACCUGCAGCUUAACUGUGGGCGUGCGGUCGAUACGGGCAUCACUGGAGUUCGGCAGGGGAGACUGGAAUUCCUGGUGUAGCGGUGAAAUGCGCAGAUAUCAGGAGGAACACCGGUGGCGAAGGCGGGUCUCUGGGCCGAUACUGACGCUGAGGAGCGCAAGCGUGGGGAGCAAACAGG